GGAAAAGGUGUAAAUUACCCUAUCUCCUGGCAUCUGAAGUUAGACUUCAGGGAGUUUCAAUCCCUGUAUGUGGGGCAGACAUAUUCAUGCUGUAAAGUCAGAUGUCAAAAGAACAGUUGGAUGACACACAGGGUGCUGGGUUAGGGUUCAACCGUCAAGUUUUGGCAUUAUGUGGCAAUGCAAAAAGUUCCCUACUCCUACAUGUCUGCACCAUCCACGCAACUCCUCUGCUGAGCUGCUCCAGCACAGCCGAGGGAAGAACCUUUUGGUCCCUCAGUCUGGAAAAUGUGAUGCUUUUUAUUUUUAAUUCUACACAAUCGCUGUGUUGUACCAGGGCUAAAUGAACUGCAAACACAAUAUGACAAAAUAGUGUGGUGUUGGUUUCCUCCAUCAGGUCACUGAAAAUUUUCAAGAAGAGAGCAUUAAUUAAAAAAAAAAAAAGAAAAAGUAAUUAAAAUAUUUGUACUAAGAUUUAAUAGGAACACAAGUAAAAGAACCUAAAGUAUAUAUGCUACCAGAAGAAAAAGUGCCAUGUACAUGAGAAUUAAAUAGUUCUUGAAUUAGCUUAUAUGCAGGAGGAAAAAAAAAGCUUAAAAAGUUAUGAAAUAUUUUUCCUUUUCUAGUUAAAAGAAAUAAAAAUUGACAAAUUUACCGUACACCAACUAGCAUCAGCCUCUAUGCUAUAGUGACUAGAGGUGAGCAUGACCACACCUACACUUGUCUACGCUUGCUGAACCCUAGGCCGGUUGCUAGGUCCCCCUUGGCCAGCACCAAGCCUCUUUGUGAGCUCAGCCCAGAUUCUGGCUGUGUUCAGAGGUCACAGUCCCAUCAGCAGUCCUUCCUGGCAGGAUCCCUGGCGUGGUGCUGCCACAGAAUAGGUGAGGUAUGUGGCAGCUCACCUGCACAGAGCAUUGGAUAGCCCAUCCCCAGAGGAGAAAUGAAAACCCCUUCUUCUACAGGGGGUAUUUCUUUCUCUGGGAAAGGAACACACCCUGGCCCCACUCAGUGUUGGGCUGCUGUUGGAGCUGGCUUUGGACAUAAUCCAAGGGACUUGACAGAAAUGGUACCAUCUCCUUGGCCAGGACUGGCACAGAGCUCCAGUCAGAGGCGGCAGCUGAAGAAGACACCUGCUUCAGGAGAAAGGAUGUAUCCAAGAGAGAUUGAGGUCUCCAUCACAGUUCUUAAAGCGCUUUUAGAAUAAAGGCAGUGCCUGACAGUGUUUGCUCACACUUCUUUUGUGCCUUUGGAGGCCUGAUUCCAUGAGCCACAGAUAAUCAAAUGGUGUUAUGACAUGGUUAAGAUUUUCAGUAACUGGACAGGAGCCAGAAUGUGUCUAUACAGGCUGAAAUUGUAUCAUUAGAUGUGAUUAAUGUUGUUCUUGCAUUGGUUGGAAAGGAGUCACUUAGGUAACAACUUUAUCCCUAACUCAAGGAGCAUGACACAUUAAGUGAUUUUAUUCUGAUGUCUGUAAUUUUGCAACCUUUCGGUAUGCUUACGCCUGCAGUUUACUCAUAAAUGUUUUCCUCUCUCUCUUCAUUAUUGGGCAGAAAGAUGGAGAUAUUAAAAAUACAUAGGUAGUAAAUGGUGCCUUGUCAGAAUGAAGCACACAUGUUCAGAUCAGCAAACUCCUGUUCAGCUGCUCUCUGUUCCUGGAGGUUUCUAAAUACCAUAAAUGCCUUGUUUUCUGACAGGCUCCAGCAGGUAGAGUUGUCACAAUGCCGAGGGAGCCUGAGGUUCAGCAGUCUCCCACAAAAUACACGGCCAUAGCACUUUCUGUCACGCUGAGUCUCAUGACUUCACAUCCCACUGGUCUGCAGAGAUGGCAAAUUCUGCAGCACAGUGAUGAAGAUGCUCAUGUGGCAGAGAAGGGAGAGAACCAGGAAACUGAAUUAUCGCCGCCCUUGUCCAUGAACACAAAUAUAUGUGCAUAAUCAUGUCUAUGUACCAGUUCUUAACUGUAUAGCCAGCACUUAGAGAAAAGACAGAAUCUUAGACAGAACCCCUAAGACAUGCAAGGCAUGCUAAUCCCUAAGACCCCAGGGCACAUCCCUUCCAUCUCAUGCUUUGCUGUUUUACUUACCUUUAUUAUUCCUCAGUGUCCCCAUCUCAGGAGGGAGCAAAAGUGCCACUUGGCAGAGAGAUGCAGUGUUUAAAACCAUGCUGCACCUUGUCCUAGCACUACAUGCCCAUGUAAAAAGUUGUUCUCUCUCUCUUUUACAAGGUUUCUUUAACUACUGGAAAGCCCCAAUGAAGUGGCCCUGGAGCCUUCUCCAGGCUGAACUUCCCCAGCUCUCUCAGCCCUUCCUCCAAGAAGAGGUGCUCCAGCCUUCUGAUCACUUUCAUGGUCCUCCUCUAGACCUUCUCCAACACAUCUGUAUCAAACCACUCUAUGAUUCUAUGGUUUUUACUUUUAUUAUUUCACCUCAGCAAUACCGAACAGCGUGAAUCACGUUUCUUCCUCUGCUAAAUAGUGCAGACAGCACUCCUAUUGGGCAGGACUCCCUUCCAGCACCUAAUGCAACCUGAUCAUUUGCAGCACCAGUCUGACCACAUCACUCUUUGUGUAUUUGUACCUUAGAGGUCACUCUCCCUCACACACAAACACACAACAUGUUCUUCAUCAGCAAGUUCAGAAAACUGAAUCUUCCCUUCCUUCAUCUGCUGAAUAAAAGGGGAGUGUAGACUGGCUCUGGUAACUUCCCUUACCUGCAAGAGCUUAAUAGCUCUAAAUGUGCACACAGUGUUAUUUUAAUGUGACACGAAAGAGGGAAGCAAUGCUCUCACCAGUUGCAAAUGUGUGAAUCUUGUAAACAAGGUGCACGUGUGCCCACCAAGUGGCACAAGAUGACAGGACUUGGCCAGUCCAUGAAAUGAUUCACUAUAAAGCACUUGAAACCAGAAUUGAGAAAUUGAGCCUUGGUUUCAGCCUGAGGGUCUAGCGCUUUUGAGUAGGAUCCUACACUGAAAAAAGUGUCAGAGAAUAUAUGGAUAAAGAGAUUACUGUACAUUUAUCCAUCUAAACGAUUGAUAAUAGCACAGCCCUGUGUGUUGGUCUGUUUCUGGCUUGAAUCAACUGAGGUUUCGCUCUGUGCUUGAGUGUAGACAACAUAAGACCAAAUUUAGACAUAUUACUCACAACAGCUCUGUUUGCAGAUUUUAGGCUUCUGGGAACUUUCAACCUUCUUGAUCACCAUGUUCAUAUUCAAAAAAAACUCAGGUCAUGGGGCCUGCAGCCUGAGCACUGACAGCAAAAACCAUCUGUUGCCAAAGGAGACAGAGAAGCCACUCUGUCUGUCACUACAACAUUUCCAUCUUCCUUUCCUAUAUGGAGGAAGAAGUGAUUUUGUUUAGAAGGAAGUAAUUCCAUCAUAUAGAACAAUGAAAUAUGAACUGUUGGCCAAAUUUACUCCUAAACUUCAAACUCGUCAUACCAUUGAGUCUUCUACAUUUGUUAUUAAAAACUCAGUGUAAGCUGUUUCAGGCAUAUGUCCAUUGGAAAAGGCUGAAAGUUUCUAUAAGAGCAAGUGAAUGGAAUAUUUUGAGCUUACAUGACAGUUAAAAUGCAGAUGGCCCAAAUAUUAUAUAAGGAACGGUCUAAAAUUGCAACAGUGGAGGCAGGCUUCUCAAAGGAUCUGAAGGGAACUGGGAGCCCAACUGUCUUUAAAAAGAAUAAGAAUGGGAAACAUUUGCAAAUCUCUGUUUUAAAAUCCAUGUUUUCUCUCCUAUUUUCAAAGAAAUAUUUUAUGUCAACUCAUAAAUUAUGUUUAUGUUAAAAUAAACAAAUGAACAAGAGAUGUACAAAUGUCUGUGAGACUGAAUUUCAGCCUUAUCCGUGUGAAAUGGUGUGCCCUCAUUUCAAAUUCAUGAUCCAACAUUGCUUCAGUUUAAUGCCAAAAGGGACAUAAGACAGGUCAAUAAUGACUGGCUACUGGAACUUUCUAGGAAUUUUUCCAGAUUUCCAACUCAAUUUUUAAAUGCUGGGCUGAGAGUCUUAAAAGGCUCCCAAAAACCAUCAGACCACCUGCAUCUGUAAACAUCUGUAAUGUUUACAACCCCUUUUUCCAAAAACCAGUACACCUUUAUAGCCACAAGGUCUAAUUGGCCCUGUCCACUGAGGAAAUGAGCUGAGAGCAAAUGCUUAUAGUUUGCCAGAUAAUCCCUGGCAAGGAUUACAGCCUCCUAACUACAAAAGCUACAUCUCUAGAAAUGAAAUAAAAACAGGCCAGUGUAGCCACUAAUAACUGAGAAAGUUGCUCUCCAAAAAACUGAGAAAAAUAUAAAUUUGAAAAUCCACAAGCCACCUCAUCAAAAACUAAGUUGUGAUCCUCGACAGAGUUUUAUGUGGGAUGACUCACCAAUCAAUUUUAAAGUUGAUAGAGCUUUACCUAACAAAUUAUUAUUUUUCCUACACAAUAACUAACUUCUUACAUGCAAAAUGCUGUUACAAGGGCAAAGUCCUCCCUGUUUACCACAGAUAUGGAAAGGCUCAAGCUGCUCUCAUGGUUUGAACAAGCAAAUCAAGGUGUUAAAAAAAAAAGCCAAAAAAAAAAUCACACCCAACCAAAAAUGAGCAAAAUGCCCAAGGCAGACCAUUGAUACCUCAAAGUUAACUUCAGAAGCUACUAUUCUGGCUGUUGCACUCAAACUAGAAAGCAGACUGCCUCUUCCACAGCAGUUUCAAAAGGGUAAGAUCCUUGAGAUUCUUGUGAGACAUUUUUAGGAACGCCAUUGAAAGUCAAAGAACUUUUCUACCAGAAAGAUAAAAUUGUCUGGUACAAGAGGAUUAAUAAGUAUUAAUCCUUUGUGCCUUCUGAUUAAGACCCACACCCAUGCACAGCUAAUUAUUGUCUACCUGGAUUUGUUUAGGAUAAAUUUGAAAGAACUCCAGAGCAUGGUAAGCUGGAGUUGAACUUGUGAGUCUUCCUAGUGAAAAAUGUUUCUAAACCCUGUCUUUUGACUAUUUUGUGCCAUAAAAGAAAAAUCAACAGAGUGGACUAGGUCUGUUGGUAGCCUGUUACAGCUGCAGAAGGUUGGCUUGUAGGCCUUUCUAAUAACAAGUUUGCACCUGAAGGUUGCUCGUACUGCUGUCAGGUGGUAGCAGUGCCAGUAAAUAUUGGUAGCCUUUCCGAAUGCUGCAGUUCAUUCUUUUUUGUGUGCACUGUUCCCUACUAAUGGUAAUGUCUAUAGCAGGAGGUCUGAGUGGAUUUUGGGGGAUUUUUUGUUUUUUGCGGAAUGAAUGGGAAAUUCCAUCUGUAAGAUUGGUUAAGCUCAAUGGGGUGUAAAGCAAAGAACCAAAGUAAAGCGCUCCUGUGCUGUGUCUGUGGCUGCAGGAUUAAUUUCAGUUACAUUAUGGAGCUCUGGCUGCAGAAAGCAGGAUCACAUCAUCUCUGGAGAGGGAGAUUUUAAUGAACCAUUGAGCUGCUGUCCACGAAAUGUAGUCAGAGGGGAUUUUGCAAUUCACUUUCACUGGGAAGAGGCCUGCAAGAAGCUGCAGGGGCCACAAGUGCAGAACCAUUUACAUGCUAACCCACAGGAGUUAGCACUGCUGUGCUUCCUGGCAGCCUGCUUGAAGUAGGCUUGCUCAGCUGCUGGGGAGCAAUGUAGAGAUGGCUGUGCUAGAAUCCAGCAACAUCACCAGCUCUCGGGGAUACAAGCCUAGAAAUUUGAGCAAGAAGGUUUCAGUUCUUUGCUUUACACCCCAUUGAGUUCAGCCUUUUCAUCGCUUAGAGAAAAAAAUUAUUCCAGUCUUAUGGCUUAUGACUUUGGACAACAAAGGACAAGUGACUUUUUAAAAUAUUCCAAGGGAAGGCAUUGAAACCAAAUCUUUUCAUUUCUUCCUUUGUUUUACAGGUCUUCUGUGCCCAAGUUCUGCUGGAGGCUAACAACUGAGCCUAUGAUGCUAGUAUUUUUCUAAUACUGACAAAUGAGAACAUUUGCAAAAUAGAGAGCUUCUGAUAUGAACAGAAAUCCUUAUGAUUCAAGCAAGCUCAAUUUAGAACAGGAAUUGCUAAACGAUUGGACUCAAACUCAGUCAAGAUUGAUUUAUGUUUAAAAAGGAACAAUAAAAUUAGUGGUUUGAGAUACAGCCCAUGAUACGAGGUGUAAAGGACAGGUUUUCAGUCAGCUACUUUUAUGUUCUCAUCUGGAGGCUCCAUGGUGAAGAGGUUUGCCAUAGCUCACAUAUAUCCAAACCAAAUGUAUUGCUAUUUGCACAGCUUCCCAUUAGAAAAAUUAAAGAUUUACAUCAUCACUCCAAAACUGCAUUUCAUGGGUUGGUUUGCUAGUUUAUCUGUCAGACUUACCAAGUCUGUGUAACUGAGACAGCCCCACCAUUCCUUAUUUCCUGUUUUAUUAGCAGGGAAUAGGAAUAUUUGCAUAAUGUUUCCUAUGGAAUAUUAAACUCUUGUAAGCCUGUUUAAGGUCAAAAGAAAAAAUAUUAAAAUAAUCCAUUCCUUAAAUCUGCAUAUGUUUCUCAAAUUUGUACUAAAUUUCAAAGCUUCUAAUUCUUGCAUAAGCCCUAAAAUCCAUUAAAGACACUGUUCUGCCAAAAGCUGUUGGCUGGAUUCUGUUAGUCUCUCUAUGUUCAUCUCCAUACAUGCACAAAAUAUAGUUUGUUUUCUGGUCACUACCUGGCACCUCUGGCUGUGAAGCCAGGGAAUUUUUCCUGUGAAUAGACUGUGGUUUAUUGUACAUGCUGGUCCCUGACCUGGACAAUGACAACACUAGUGUUUUCUUGGAUUUGUACAAGAUUUGUUAGGCUUCCUAGUUUAAUGCUUUUCCCAAGCCAAACCCUGCUAAGCCUGAACAACACCCUCAUGAUUCAUCAUCCCCCCAUGCAGCAGCAAUGUGUUGCUCAGUUACCAGAACAAACCAACAUCUGCCACGCCACAACUUCCAAGACAGCCGAGUAAUCACUGCUGUGCCAUAAACUGGGAGGGGGAAACGACAACCCUAGCACUGCUAAUGCCACAAGGAUUGUUAUUCUGCCGUCCCUGGGGCACUGCACCACUGCUGCUGGUCACAGAGGAGUAGGCUCAACCUCUCCAGCAUAAAGAGCUUGACCUUUUAACCAGGUCUGCAAAAAGAAGUGAUGCUGGUUUCUCCUAGAACAUAGAUAACUUUCAAACAGUUUUCAGACCGCUCAGAAUCAUCCAGAAAAGUUGAAAUACUGAAAAUAUUCUUGCUAUUUUGAAUAUGCUUCUAAUGAAGUUAUUUUCAGCUGUCACAAUUGCUCCCUCUAAAACAUGGGAAAGGACAUAAAGGGCAAUAUUGCUUCACCUGCUUCAAUUGGUGUCUGAUGUAAGCAAAUCAGGAUGCAAGGACAGAGAGGACUAAGAGGAAGUAAAGCAGCUUCUUCCUUUCUUUUCAGAUCAGGGUGUUGGUUUUGUUGCCUUGGGUGUUGCGUUUGAGGAGUGGCUGCGUUGGCAUCCUGAGGAACAACAGGCUCAGAUUGUUUGCCAGCUUUAGAAAUCAGUUAAAUUCAAAAACAUCCACAGUUUCAGUGUACCUUUCAAAUAUGCCUCCUUUUAACAACUCUGCAAAAGGUGGCUAUCCCUAUUUUAAAUAGAAACACAUGUUUGGAGAAGGAAAGUGGCAGUGGAGGAUUCCAGCACUGUUCCUGCACUCACUGGGUUAUUGGGCAUACUUUUCUGUUUAUCCCUCAUAUCCCUAUGUAAGCAAAAUUGAGGUUCCCACUCAAUAAAAUAACAGCUAAGGUCUAGCCCUCAUGGAUUCCCUUUCCUCCUAAACCCUUACCACAACAAACUGCUGAGAGAUUGUGACUUUCCUGAAGCAAACUAUAACACUGGAAGCCCAGGUUGCACAUUUGGCUCAGUAAAAUCUUUCCCCACAGUACACCCAUAUGAAUCACAAGCUGCAGCAGUAACAAGAUGCAACUGAAAAAUAACAUUAAGAGCAAAUCCUUGGGGUACAUGGAAUUUUGGCAUUUCACAUCAGGAUUAGCUGCCAUUUCAAACUCUUCUUUAGCUGCUCCCCCACUAUCACAUUUUUCUUAUAAAAGACCCUCAGGAUGGCCUCCUUAUCAGCAUCACUCACUUCUUCUGUAAUUCAUUUACUGACCUGACGAGUCACAGCCACUUUGCAUUUUCUGGGGGAAAAUAAAAGUAAAAAAAAAAAAAAAGAAAGAAAAAAAAAAAAAAAAAAAAGGUAGCUCCUGAUCUUUUUUAUAAUUUUUUUGUGUUUCAGAGCUUUCUUCUCUAGGAUACCUAGAAGAAGUCAUUUUUUGGAGGACAAGUUGUCCUGAGUUUCUGCUCUCAGAGGACUUCAAGUAUAAUGAGACAAUACCAGAUAAAAAUGGAGCAAAGGAAACGUCAAGGAUGCCAUCCUGGACUGAAGGAGAAGCCAAUACCUCACAACAUAUUAUCUUCAGCAAUAGCAGCCGCGUCGGUCAUAAACGGGUCGUGUUGCAACACCUCCCACUCAAAGAAAGAGGCGGAUCCGGAUCCAGCUUUGUCCCUGGGCCCAGCUGUGUGCCCCCCACAGCCUUGUCCCAAGACUUUCCCCAUGCAGACCUGAGGAGUCCGAUGUGCCAGGCGCAAGCAGUGCAGAUGGUGCUGAGCACAGCUUCGCUUUGAGGCAGCAUCUGACCUAUACAAAGGGGCUGCAGCCCCACGGACAGAGCUCAAGUUUGGUCCUCACUCUUCAAAUGGACAGGACAUUCACUGUCCCUCCAGGAUGGACAUUUCUUCCACCUUUUCAUUUCAUUAUGUGUAACUACAAGAAUAUUUAUCUUUUCCACAUUUACUCACUUCUCUUUGUCCUGUACAGAAGUUCCUUAAUGAAAACUAAGUCAUGGUUAUUCACCAGAAUCAAAACUUCCAUAAAACUGAUCCCUAAAAAGUCCAUUUAUUGAGAGUAAACAAAUUUCUUUUCUACUAUUUAUGUUUUGAUAUUUUUAUAUUUCCAUCUGUUGUGAGAUAAAUCUAAAGAAAUCUAUGGGAAAAGUUAUUUAGAAACAUAAACUAGUGAUUUACUGGAGUGAUUUUCAUAAACCCUUUUGUUUUGAUAAGAUUAAAUAUUUCAUCUCAUUAAGCAUUGCUUUUGUUGUUCUACAAGAAUAAAAGGAAUAUUAUAAUUAAGUGCCUAAGUCUGCAAAUGUAGUGUUACAGUCUUAUUUUGUCCAGAUCUGCUUUUUCCAGUGGGAAAGGUUUCUAUAUCGGUUUUUUUGGGUUUUUUUUUUUCAGUUUUAGUGGCCAUGCAGGCUCUCAUAAGCUGCCAAAACAAACAAGAAAACUGCAAUGUCUAGAAAUGGAAGCAGGCUGGUCAAGGGCUCAAUACAAGCUCAUAAAUCUCUAAUUAUAUAAAUUAUAUUUGUUGAUAGUAGCACAUUCUGCUAGUCACAGUUGAUGGAACAAGGGCU